rnacentral:rRNA from 1 species
UACGGAGGGGGCGAGCGUUAUUCGGAAUUAUUGGGCGUAAAGGGCGCGAUAGGCGGCCCGGUAAGUCAAAGGUGAAAUCCCUCGGCUCAACUGAGGAACUGCCUUUGAAACUGUCGGGCUUGAGGCCGGGAGGGGGUAGCGGAAUUCCCAGUGUAGCGGUGAAAUGCGUAGAUAUUGGGAGGAACACCAGUGGCGAAGGCGGCUACCUGGACCGGUUCUGACGCUGAUGCGCGAAAGCGUGGGUAGCAAACAGG